CUCUCGCGCUAUUGAGAAAGGGCUGCUGGGAAAUGUAGUGUGAGCAACGGCCGCUGAGGGGCGCCCGCGGCUCUGGAACCCGGACCUAGUUGGUAUUCCAUUGCCUCUGCUCACAAAGCUCCAGGGGAAUUUCAUGUGGAGGAGAUGAAGUGUGAAGUCAGAGACCUGCCAGUCCCACAUCAACCACAAACUUCGCGGAUGGCCUCAAGCAAGUCAUCUCCAUCUCCCUCUCCCUCAGUUUCCUGCAACCUUGGCAAGACCCAGAAAUACUUGAAGUGCCAGACCUCUGAGGCCAGGGGAUCUUCUGAGUGAGAUCCCCUGGGGAAGAGAGCCCCCGGGGAAGAAUAAAGCACUGAUCUUAAAACAGCAA